UACGGGAGGCAGCAGUGGGGAAUAUUGCACAAUGGGCGCAAGCCUGAUGCAGCCAUGCCGCGUGUAUGAAGAAGGCCUUCGGGUUGUAAAGUACUUUCAGUCGUGAGGAAGGUGUUAAGGUUAAUAACCUUAGCAAUUGACGUUAGCGACAGAAGAAGCACCGGCUAACUCCGUGCCAGCAGCCGCGGUAAUACGGAGGGUGCGAGCGUUAAUCGGAAUUACUGGGCGUAAAGGGCACGCAGGCGGUUAAUUAAGUUGGAUGUGAAAUCCCCGGGCUUAACCUGGGAAUGGCAUUCAAAACUGGUUAGCUAGAGUCUUGUAGAGGGGGUAGAAUUCCAUGUGUAGCGGUGAAAUGCGUAGAGAUGUGGAGGAAUACCGGUGGCGAAGGCGGCCCCUGGACAAAGACUGACGCUCAUGUGCGAAAGCGUGGGGAGCAAACAGGGAUUAGAUACC
rnacentral:rRNA from 1 species